rnacentral:rRNA from 1 species
ACGUAGGGGGCGAGCGUUAUCCGGAAUUAUUGGGCGUAAAGAGUGCGUAGGUGGUUGUUUAAGCGUGGGGUGAAAGGCAAUAGCUUAACUAUUGUAAGCCCCGCGAACUGGGUAACUUGAGUGCAGGAGAGGAAAGCGGAAUUCCUAGUGUAGCGGUGAAAUGCGUAGAUAUUAGGAGGAACACCAGUGGCGAAGGCGGCAUACUAGACUGCAACUGACACUGAGGCACGAAAGCGUGGGGAGCAAACAG